UAUACUUCAGUAUAAAAUGAAAAUUAAAUUGAAUUUAAAAAUAAAGAAUGAAUAGAAAGUGUCCUAGUGAGGAGUUAGGUAUUACAGACUCCAGACAGAGAAGGCAGCAUGCCUAGUGUCCUGCAGCAGAAAAGAGCUCGUACAUGUGAGAAAUGGAAAGAGUGGCCCAGCUCGGGCCCAGUGAGUGCCCUGAGUGACCUCAGUCAGUCCCUUGAGGAGCACAAGAGUUGCUCAGCGCUGUGUGGACACCCUUCAGUCUGCUCAGACUCUGACAAUCCACUUCAAGGCUCCUGGAGGUGUGGGUAAUUUCCUUGACUCUGCCCUGUCUAAUAAAUUUUUCAAAUCAAUUUUUUUCAGAAAGAGAAGGUAAAGAAAAGAAAGAAGGGGAGCAAAAGAUCAAAAUUGGAGUCUUGUCUCUGCCACUAUUGGUACUUAAUUUAAGAUCAGGAGAUUGAGGUACAAAGUGAUUAAGUGACUUGAUCAUCACCUUAAAGGCCUCGAACCCAGCCCCAGAGAGACAGCAGUGAACAAAACAGCAACCCCAGCCCCAGGGAGUUUACCUUCUCUGAAGGGAGACAGGAAAUAACAGAUAAGAUGUUGUCUUGCGCCCAGGGCAGCUGUGAGUGUGUGAAUGCCUCAUCAGCGAUUGCGGACACUGCCCAAAUGGUGAUCAGCACAGAAACCUUAUAAAAUUACCAACAGACUACCACUUCUGUCUGCCAGCACUUUCAAUGCCAGCCAGCCUUGGGGCUUGUUUUGUUUUGCUUGUUUUUUUGUUUUUUUCUAUUGGAGUAGGUUGUGAUUUAGAAUGAGUGUUUGUGGACCGUAAAUGAAAAUAUAGGCUCACACCCAAUUAACUAGCUUUGACGAAUCAGAAGGGACAUACAUGGUUUAUUUGCAAGAAUGAGCAACAACCUAGAAAACUAGGAAUUUUUUUCUCCCUUCCUUUCCCUUAAUAACCUAGGACAAAUGUAAUAAAACUCUGUCUUUUCCCCUCUGUCUUCAUAUGCUAUAUGUUGUGAGGAAUACCAAAGAAGUGAGUUAUAUUUCCUGUCCUUCAAGGGCAAAUAUAAGAAGGUUGAAUCACAAUGACUGAUUUGAAUCAUUUACCAGGAUAUAAAAAUAUUAAGCUGAAAGUAUCUAUUUACAUGUGAUUCUAUCUCUUUUGAUGUCCAACGGAUGUGAGUGACAUAACAUCUCAGUAAGAUGCAAUUCCCCAGUACAGAAGUGAACAUCUUUGUCUUAUUCUUGCUUGGGUUACAUACUCAUCCAAUUUCCCCCAAUGCCUCCUGCAACUCUCCCUCAAUGACUUCUCUUAUCUGUACUUUACAGGAUCUCCAAAGACUCUGCUUCUGUGAGGCCACCUAAACUAUGAUCCCAUAAAAUUAAAAUGAUGAGAUGGAAAACCACAGAAAGCACCACACACCUGGUAGCUGAGCGGAGCUUUGUGUUGCCAAAGGGGCCAAGGCCUGGGCUUCUGCCAUGUGAUUCCCUGCCCACCUUUUAUCCAGAGGGGACUGCUAAUUUUUAAAAAUAGGUUUAAUACAGUCGUACACUCUAAUGUACUCUGUACUAUCUUCUUCCUGUGGGUGCACUUUUCAACUGUUACAAGAAAUUCGGUCCCUUGUGAAGCAUGAGUUUGUAAAGAUUUAGAUCAGUUUUGUUGUCUCUGUUAACUUUAACCAAGUGGUGUAUCCUGAUAUAUUAUAUGAAUUUAGAGUUAGUAGAUCUCAUUUCUGGAGAAGGAAAUGGCAACCCACUCCAGUGUUCUUGCCUGGAGAAUCCCAGGGACGGGGGAGCCUGGUGGGCUGCUGUCUAUGGGGUCACACAGAGUCGGACACGACUGAAUCGACUUAGCAGCAGCAGCAGCAGCAGAUCUCAUUUCAUUUCAACACUCUAUGGAGUUUGGAAAGUGUCCCAGAAGCCAGUAAGAAACCAAGCUUCUGCAGAACUGUGGGCAGGUGCUUUCACCUCUGUUUUCUCAUCUGUCACCAGGGCAUUACUAUGGCCAUACAAGUCUGUAUACAAAUGUCAUACAAUUUCAAGGAGACUGUUCACAUCGUAACUGAACAACAAAGCGGUCUGUCUGUAACAGGAAGAUAGGUGAGCAAAUUAAAUCAUCUUUCAAUCCCUUUGAGCUAAAAUUUAAUCAUUAUGACAAGGUGGUAUUCCAACUUUUCUCUAGAUUUUCUUCACACUUACUUUUUAAAAUAUCAUUUUUUUUUUAACCAAUGCUUUCAAACAUAUGUUCUGGACUAAAUUUGGUUUAGAAAAUAGUUUUAAGUUUUGUACUAUUUUCUGUAAAAGAAUAAAAUAGUAAAUAUUAAAAAUUUUAACAUUUUAAAACUUUACAGAUUCCCCAAAACCCAAAAAUACGUAAUAAAAAUAGCUUGCCACGGAGGUCUUCUACACAACGAUUUAAACUGAGAUUGCUAACAAAUUAAAUGGAUUAUUAGGUGUUUAACACUGUUGCUUUCCACUGUAAUUUGAAUGGAAUAUAGCUGGGCCUUAAACAUCACCAUAGACACUUUGCUCUAAAGCAAACCUACCUAUCUUUAUCAUUGGUCUUGGAAUCUAAUCAAGGGAGCUUAGAUACUGAAUUGCUGAUAGAACUCCCUUGAUGAACUGAUUCUCCCUGUUCAGUUCAGUUCAGUCGCUCAGUUGUGUCCGACUCUUGGUGACCCCAUGAAUCGCAGCACCCCAGGCCUCCCUGUCCAUCACCAACUUCCGGAGUUCACUCAGACUCACGU